GACGAACGCUGGCGGCGUGCUUAACACAUGCAAGUCGAACGGAAAGACCCUGCUUUUGUGGGUUGCUCGAGUGGCGAACGGGUGAGUAACACGUGAGUAACCUGCCCUUGACUUUGGGAUAACUUCAGGAAACUGGGGCUAAUAUCGGAUAGGAGCUCCUGCUGCAUGGUGGGGGUUGGAAAGUUUCGGCGGUUGGGGAUGGACUCGCGGCUUAUCAGCUUGUUGGUGGGGUAGUGGCUUACCAAGGCUUUGACGGGUAGCCGGCCUGAGAGGGUGAACGGCCUCAAUGGGACUGCGAUACGGACCAGAAUCGUACGGGAGGCAGCAGUCGGGAAUAUUACAGAAUGGGCGGAAGCCUGAUGCAGCAACGCCGCGUGCGGGAUGACGGCCUUCGGGUUGUAAACCGCUUUCGCCUGUGACGAAGAGUGAGUGACGGUAACGGGUAAAGAAGCACCGGCUAACUACGUG
rnacentral:rRNA from 1 species